GUACCCGUAGCUCAGCUGGAUAGAGCGUCAGACUCCGACUCUGAAGGCCAGAGGUUCAAAUCCUCCCGGGUACACCA
rnacentral:tRNA from 1 species